AGUGCGCUGCCGGACGAGAGUAGGCCAUCGGCUUUCCGCGGGCACACGCGGGUGGCUGUGGUUGAACUGACUCUCGGGUUUCCGCUCCUGGCUGUUCAAGCCGAUUAAUUGCAGUGGCCUCUACAGUUACCUAGUGGCUGCUCCCGGAUACGGACGCACGCGAGGGAUGCAGGAGUCAUCUUUCACUAAUCACCGGAAUCCCCUUUCCAAUCAGGGCAAGGCAGUGUCUCAGGUUGCUUUGGGAUCUCCUUUUAUUGCAGUUAUAAUCCUCCAGCGAAAAAGUUAUUUGUUUGUGUUUUGUCUGUGAGCCUCGUUUUCUAAAUGACUGUUGAGGGAAAUUGGUGCUUCGGGGACCAGGUCCUCGGGAAAAAAAAAUCAUGUAUAUAUAUGCUUACACGCCCACGCCUGUAAUCCCAGCACUUUGGGAGGCCGAGGCCGGAGAAUCUCUUGAGCCCAGGAGUUCGAGACCACCCUUGGCAGCGUAGGCAUAGGGAGAACCCGUCUCUACAAACAAUUUUAAAAAAAAUGGCCCGCGUGGUGGUGCGCGUCUGUACUCCCAGCCACUCGGGAGGCUGAGGCAGGAGCAUCGCUUUACCUUGAGAGGCGGAAGUUGCAGUGAGUCGAGAUCGAGCCACUGCACUCCAGCCUGGGUAACAGUGAGACUGUCUCAAAGGGAAAAACACGUAGUGCUUGCUUCUUGUUCAUUCGUUUGGUAUAAUUUAUCAUGGGUUUUACAGUUAAUCCCAGGUCUCUUGAUUUCCAUCCAAAAUGCUCCCAGUUAAAAUUCAAUGAAUGUUUGCUGUGACCUAUCAGUAUGUACAAGACACACGAGGGUGGAAGUGUCUUGCUGACAAAAGGAAAAAGUAGCUUUUGAGCUUUGAAGGAUUGUAAAUUGACAUCAGAUCCGAAAAGUGGCAUGCUGAACCGCUUGGGUUUAGCAGUAAUAUGUUUUCGUGGAGAUGAAAUUAUCAUACCUAGGGGUAGGGGUAAGGGAUGGGGUGGACUUUGUUGUUAAUUUGAAGAAUGACCCCAGAAAGUAAGAACUGUUCGUGGCCUUUAUGCCAGCAAGUAGUUAUCGUGGAAACUAUGCUUUAAUAGAGCAUAUGACUUGUAGAGUCUGAAGAGAGGCCCUGAAUUCCUAGAAGAAAUCCAUUUCAACAAGAUUUUUUAGUUGUCUGCCUUAAGAGCUACAAUAAUCACAUUUCUCUUUCCAAACAUUAAAGGGAGCAAUUGGCAUUUCCUCCUCAAGGGC
rnacentral:lncRNA from 10 species